rnacentral:lncRNA from 1 species
AGUGUCUAUCAUCAGAGUUAGUCUCAGUCCAUCAGAACCAGGUUGGCUCUUUUAUAGAUAGUUGAGGCAUGCAAGAGCUCAUUCUUUAUCUGUACAUUCACUGGUUGUAUUGUAUGAGCACCUUGUCGUAUUAAUACCCCGUGUCGC